rnacentral:misc_RNA from 1 species
UAUUACAAUUUUAUCGUCUCUUUAUUAAACGAAUCGACACGUUUAAUAUUCACCUCAAAUUGUUCCAUAAAAUUUAGAAAAUAUUGUUGAGCUCAGAAAGAAGUUUCGUAUCUUUUACAAGGUGUUUAUUAAAAAUAUACGUAUAAGGAAAUGUAAAAUCAAAAGUGUUAUAAUUUCUAUAAUCAAUACUAUAGUUCAUUGGACGUCAAAGAAAUUACGAGUAGGUAAAUUUUAUGCUAAGUGUUAUCUUUUCUAUAAUCAAUUUUAUAGUUCAUUGGACGUGAAAGAAAUUACGAGUAGUGAUGCCUCUCGCAGAAUUCCUGUAUUCUCUGACAAGCCUCCUCCAACAUAUCUAUGGGCACCGUGAUGACCAGCCUCAUGUACGACGGAUAAUCGAAGCACUGUGAAAAGAAUUGAGAAGCGCUUAAUCGACGAAAACGUCCAGUCGAACGAGAGCUCGAUUUAUAGGACGUACCUGGCCAGGAAGGCAAAACACAGACUCCUCCAUUAGCAAUCGUUGCACGAAUUCGAGGUCGGAAUUAAAUUCCGGAAAACAAGGUAGAUCUAUGUAAACCUGGGGGACCGAUAGGAUAAUUUAUAGUCAGUAAAUUGCGAUCUGCUACCCUUAACGUCGGUGUGUUUACCUUAACGUUUAAAUCGCGUCUGAUUUUCACCUAAUUACACGAAAUAUUUACACGGAUGGCAAUUUCAAUCGAAUCGCCUUGUAAUCGAGUUUAAUAGCGGUAAAUAAGGUACUGUUUAGAAACUUUGGAAUUUCAUUAUUCAUAUACAUUACAUAACAUGUCGCGCAUGGUCUACUUCUCAAACUUAUUAUUGGAAACUAGAACGUGGUUUCUAGUUUGCGGCCGAUCGUGCAGGGAAAUUCGGUUUUCCCAGCAAACUUCGUCGGCAGUUCCGAUCAACUGGCGGUUUAACUAGAUAUCGUAUACACGUGCACGCAAACAACGAAUGAAUACACACAGAAAGAGAGCGGACACGAUGUGCCUGCAGAUGAACAAGUUUCUAUAAGCGCCUGGUUACAGGUCGAGCUAAUUCGAAUCGAAACAUCUUCUGGAAGAUUGAAAAUAUACGGAGCUCGAUCGCAUCUGUAUGGAAAAUUGUAUAUUAAGUUGGAAACCUAAUUGGACGAUUCGAUUAUUCGUUGUGUAAGGGAAA